rnacentral:rRNA from 1 species
UACGAGGGGGGCAAGCGUUGUUCGGAAUUAUUGGGCGUAAAAGGUGCGUAGGCGGUUUGGUAAGUCUUAUGUGAAAUCUACAGGCUCAACUUGUAGUCUGCAUGAGAAACUGCCGGGCUUGAGUAUGGGAGAGGUGAGUGGAAUUCCUGGUGUAGCGGUGAAAUGCGUAGAUAUCAGGAGGAACACCUGUGGCGAAAGCGGCUCACUGGACCAUAACUGACGCUGAUGCACGAAAGCUAGGGGAGCAAACAGG